rnacentral:rRNA from 1 species
AACAGGAUUAGAUACCCUGGUAGUCCACGCCGUAAACGAUGUCGACUUGGAGGUUGUUCCCUUGAGGAGUGGCUUCCGGAGCUAACGCGUUAAGUCGACCGCCUGGGGAGUACGGCCGCAAGGUUAAAACUCAAAUGAAUUGACGGGGGCCCGCACAAGCGGUGGAGCAUGUGGUUUAAUUCGAUGCAACGCGAAGAACCUUACCUACUCUUGACAUCCACGGAAUUUGGCAGAGAUGCCUUAGUGCCUUCGGGAACCGUGAGACAGGUGCUGCAUGGCUGUCGUCAGCUCGUGUUGUGAAAUGUUGGGUUAAGUCCCGCAACGAGCGCAACCCUUAUCCUUUGUUGCCAGCGAUUCGGUCGGGAACUCAAAGGAGACUGCCGGUGAUAAACCGGAGGAAGGUGGGGAUGACGUCAAGUCAUCAUGGCCCUUACGAGUAGGGCUACACACGUGCUACAAUGGCGCAUACAAAGAGAAGCGACCUCGCGAGAGCAAGCGGACCUCACAAAGUGCGUCGUAGUCCGGAUCGGAGUCUGCAACUCGACUCCGUGAAGUCGGAAUCGCUAGUAAUCGUGGAUCAGAAUGCCACGGUGAAUACGUUCCCGGGCCUUGUACACACCGCCCGUCACACCAUGGGAGUGGGUUGCAAAAGAAGUAGGUAGCUUAACCUUCGGGAGGGCGCUUACCACUUUGUGAUUCAUGACUGGGGUGAAGUCGUAACAAGGUAACCGUAGGGGAACCUGCGGCUGGAUCACCUCCUU